UACGUAGGGACCAAGCGUUGUCCGGAAUCAUUGGGCGUAAAGAGCGUGUAGGCGGCUUGUUAAGUCUUGCGUGAAAUCUCGGGGCUCAACCCCGAGCGGUCGUGAGAAACUGGCAGGCUAGAGUGCGGUAGGGGAGAUCGGAAUUCCUGGUGUAGCGGUGAAAUGCGCAGAUAUCAGGAGGAACACCGGUGGCGAAGGCGGAUCUCUGGGCCGUAACUGACGCUGAGGAGCGAAAGCAUGGGGAGCGAACAGG
rnacentral:rRNA from 1 species